AAAGUCUCAUUACCUUCCAUGUGCUCUCUCUGCUUUCGGGGUCCCCUGCUCCACCUCCUGAUGGCUCACGGAGCAGGGCCACGGCUUAACGAAUUGCUGAAAAUAGGUCCUAAUUAGUGGGAAAGCGCCUUCUUCAUCUUUUCUCAUUCAAGUGUGCAGUGGUUCGUUUUUCUUCAGCUAUCAAGUCACUGCUGAAGGAAAUCUGACUCUCUUCCUACCAUGUUUGCACCAAAAGUUAGCUCCAUUGGACAUGCAGUUGGUGCGGGUCUUCUGGGGGGUGUUGAAGACGGGUGCAGUGUGCUGGGGUCCCAGCGUUGUUCCCUCUUCUAAAGCUAGGAGUCCUAUGCUGAAUACAGAUUCAUUGGUUUUGGGUAAAUUUUCAUUGUUACAUCAGAUUUUCACUGGCGCACUUGGAGCAAAUGAAAUAGCAUGUAAGAUACCUCUUUAGUCCGAAUGGAGAAAAUGUUGAAUGUAGAAUCUUUAGGAGAAAUGAAAAUGAGGGAUUGAUC
rnacentral:lncRNA from 1 species